rnacentral:rRNA from 7 species
GGCGGCUGUAGCGCGGUGGUCCCACCUGACCCCAUGCCGAACUCAGAAGUGAAACGCCGUAGCGCCGAUGGUAGUGUGGGGUCUCCCCAUGCGAGAGUAGGGAACUGCCAGGC